UGGGGAAUUUUGGACAAUGGGCGCAAGCCUGAUCCGGCCAUGCCGCGUGCGGGAAGAAGGCCUUCGGGUUGUAAACCGCUUUUGUCAGGGAAGAAAUCUUCUGAGUUAAUACCUCGGGAGGAUGACGGUACCUGAAGAAUAAGCACCGGCUAACUACGUGCCAGCAGCCGCGGUAAUACGUAGGGUGCAAGCGUUAAUCGGAAUUACUGGGCGUAAAGCGUGCGCAGGCGGUUUUGUAAGACAGAGGUGAAAUCCCCGGGCUCAACCUGGGAACUGCCUUUGUGACUGCAAGGCUUGAGUGCGGCAGAGGGGGGAUGGAAUUCCGCGUGUAGCAGUGAAAUGCGUAGAUAUGCGGAGGAACACCGAUGGCGAAGGCAAUCCCCCUGGGCCUGCACUGACGCUCAUGCACGAAAGCGUGGGGAGCAAACAGGAUUAGAUAGCCCCUGGUAGUCCACGCCCUAAACGAUGUCAACUGGUUGUUGGGAAGGUUCCUUCUCAGUAACGUAGCUAACGCGUGAAGUUGACCGCCUGGGGAGUACGGCCGCAAGGUU
rnacentral:rRNA from 1 species